rfam:Schistosoma curassoni strain Dakar, Senegal genome assembly, scaffold: SCTD_scaffold0001882
AUCCAGCUGACGAGUCUCACGUAGGACGAAAUGCACGUCUUGAAU